UACAGAGGUCUCAAGCGUUGUUUCGGAUUCAUUGGGGCGUAAAAGGGGUGCGUAGGCGGCGCGGUAAGUCGGGUGUGAAAUCUUGGAGCUUAACUCCGAAACUGCAUUCGAUACUGCCGUGCUUGAGGACUGGAGAGGAGACUGGAAUUUACGGUGUAGCGGUGAAAUGCGUAGAUAUCGUAAGGAAGACCAGUGGCGAAGGCGG
rnacentral:rRNA from 1 species